GACGAACGCUGGCGGCGUGCUUAACACAUGCAAGUCGAACGGAAAGGCCCUGCUUUUGUGGGGUGCUCGAGUGGCGAACGGGUGAGUAACACGUGAGUAACCUGCCCUUGACUUUGGGAUAACUUCAGGAAACUGGGGCUAAUACCGGAUAGGAGCUCCUGCUGCAUGGUGGGGGUUGGAAAGUUUCGGCGGUUGGGGAUGGACUCGCGGCUUAUCAGCUUGUUGGUGGGGUAGUGGCUUACCAAGGCUUUGACGGGUAGCCGGCCUGAGCGGGUGACCGGCCACAUGGGGACUGAGAUACGGCCCAGACUCCUACGGGAGGCAGCAGUGGGGAAUAUGGCACAAUGGGCGGAAGCCUGAUGCAGCAACGCCCCGUGCGGGAUGACGGCCUUCGGGUUGUAAACCGCUUUCGCCUGUGACGAAGCGUGAGUGACGGUAAUGGGUAAAGAAGCACCGGCUAACUACGUG
rnacentral:rRNA from 1 species